rnacentral:rRNA from 1 species
GGCAGCACAGUAAGAGCUUGCUCUUAUGGGUGGCGAGUGGCGGACGGGUGAGGAAUACAUCGGAAUCUACCUUUUCGUGGGGGAUAACGUAGGGAAACUUACGCUAAUACCGCAUACGACCUUCGGGUGAAAGCAGGGGACCUUCGGGCCUUGCGCGGAUAGAUGAGCCGAUGUCGGAUUAGCUAGUUGGCGGGGUAAAGGCCCACCAAGGCGACGAUCCGUAGCUGGUCUGAGAGGAUGAUCAGCCACACUGGAACUGAGACACGGUCCAGACUCCUACGGGAGGCAGCAGUGGGGAAUAUUGGACAAUGGGCGCAAGCCUGAUCCAGCCAUACCGCGUGGGUGAAGAAGGCCUUCGGGUUGUAAAGCCCUUUUGUUGGGAAAGAAAAGCAGUCGGCUAAUACCCGGUUGUUCUGACGGUACCCAAAGAAUAAGCACCGGCUAACUUCGUGCCAGCGCCGCGGUAUACGAGGGGUGCAAGCGUUAUCGGAAUUACUGGGCGUAAAGCGUGCGUAGGUGGUUGUUUAAGUCUGUUGUGAAAGCCCUGGGCUCACCUGGGAAUUGCAGUGGAUACUGGGCGACUAGAGGUGGAGAGGGAGUGGAAUUCCCGGUGUACAGUGAAUGCGUAGAGAUCGCGAGGAACAUCCAUGGCGAAGCAGCUCCUGGACAACACUGAACUGAGGACGAGAGCUGGGGAGCAAACAGGAUUAGAUACCUGGAGUCCACCCCUAACGAUGCGACUGGAUGUUGGGGCAAUUGGACGCAGAUCGAACUAAGCGUCAGUUCCCCCUGGGAGACGGCGCAGAUGAACCAAUGAUUACGGGAAGGGA